rnacentral:sRNA from 1 species
UGUUAAUAAGGUGGUGCAGUAUCCUAGUCGGUUCGGGCAAUUCCCAGGACGGGCCUAAAAAUCCGUUGUAGGGCACAUCGAUGAAGUUCCUGGUGCAGGCUUUCGCCGCCAAGCGGGGGUUUGUGCUGGGAGUUAAGGUUUUUGGGCGCUCGGCAACGGCAUGCCGAAUGCGACCCAAUUUCCGCGGAGACCUGUUAUUGUAGCGCAUACUUUGCACUGUGUUCAGACUAAAGUGCGUUACGAAACAGGAUGAAACCUGUACCUUGGUACACAUUUGUGCUUGGGACAGAGUAGCCUGCCUUGAGUGGGGAUGCUGGGAUAACAGAUCAGGCAAAACUAUGCCGGCCAGCAUAUUUUUGCUAUUGCUUUUUGAAAACAUUCCUGCAAAAGAGGAUAAAGAAUUGUAUCGGCUGUCGGGGAAAACCCCUAGGCUGUUCGGAAGAGAUAUGUGUGGGAUUGCAGUACAGUCUUAGUGGCAAUUCAGUCCCGGAUGCGGUGACGCACCGGACAAGGCGUUAAUGGGGAACCCCCCUUACCGGCGACGGAAGGGUUGCCUUGCGGGAAAUCCUACUGAACCUAUGCUGUAGAUUUUAUCACACAUAUCACCACCUUUUAUAUAUU